rnacentral:rRNA from 1 species
UUGAACUGAAGAGUUUGAUCCUGGCUCAGAUUGAACGCUGGCGGCAUGCCUUACACAUGCAAGUCGAACGGCAGCACGGGUGCUUGCACCUGGUGGCGAGUGGCGAACGGGUGAGUAAUACAUCGGAACAUGUCCUGUAGUGGGGGAUAGCCCGGCGAAAGCCGGAUUAAUA